GUCUAGGAUGGAAUGUGGAAACCUCCUGUGUAUAUAGGGUCAUGGUGUUUUUGGCUGAAUAACACAGAACACAAAUGUAUAAACCCAUGGCAACCUUAAGGACUCUGGGAUGAAGAGGCUGUUACCAGAUUACAUACAGCAUUCUGGCUGUUCUAGCAGCACUGGAUAGAGCCCCUCGCUGCCACUAUCAAUGUCAGGUCUGAGGAUGGUGGGCUAUAACUACAGCAGUUGGUGUGUGGGACCAGUUUUAUUGCUCUGGCAGAUUUUACAAGACUGAUCGCAGCAUUUAGGGCCAGCAGGAAAACAGCUGAAGCAAGUACCAGGAAAAGUGGAGAAGAACGAAGUGAGAGGGCCGGAGGGAGGUUAAGAAGAUGGAGAGGAGUUAGGAACAGAAGGAAGUGUCACUGGAGGAGAUGGCCACACACAGUAGAAAUGAUCCUUAGGUAUCUACAGGGUCAGACUGGCCCACAGGGGUACCAGGGAAACCACCGGUAGGCCCCACUGCCUGAGGGCCCACUCCUUCCUCUAGGGAUCAGGUUCCAGACUGUGCACUUGUAUUAUACAUGGUAGAUAUGUUGCAUUACACUGCACUAAACUAUUGUGUAUUUCAAGCCUCUGUGAAUGCUGGUCACAUCCUCUUUUUAGGCUGGCCACACCCCUAAGUAUGGUCUCCUAUCUCUGCAAUCCCCCGGUGGGCCCUGCAUGUCCCAGUCCGACACUGGGUAUCUAUGAAUAUUCCAUCUGGAUUGAUUAUUCUAACUAUAUACUUGCAAGUGUACAAUCUAUGCUAGCAAUUGUCUAAGUUUGUUAAAUAGUUUUAUGCUAUUUUAUGUUAUAUAAUAAAGAAAGCAUAAAUAUAAUUAGUAUAUAUGUGUAUAUCUUAUUCUGUAUGAUUUGAUUGGCCUGUGAAUAAAACAAUCAGAUGAUAAGAGCUGGUAUUCCAUGUCUGAACUCACUUUGGAUUCAUAAUUUCAUAAUUCAUAUGUAUGAGAACUGCGUAUACGUAUCAGCCACCUAGUUUGUAAGCCUGACAGAAUAAUAUAUUUGCAGAUAUAUAUAAUAAUCGUAU